UGAUGAAAAUUCUCCGGAAUCUCUGUACAUCCUUGAUGAUUUUCCUUGAACCCUUUUCCAUCUGAUGACUGCAAAAAUUAAC